GUCAUUUCUGUCCAAGUGUUGGGGCGGCCGGGUAUCAGACAAGGAGCUGACAAUCAACAGUGGUUUCCUUGACCAGCUUGAGCAUGGAGACCAGGUUAUGGCUGAUCGAGGAUUUCUUAUCCGAGAGGAACUUCUCUGCAGAGGAGCAAGCCUUGUUAUCCCAGCAUUCACGAAGGGCAAAAAUCAGCUUAGCCACAAGGAAGUCAUCAGAUCACGCAAGAUUGCCAAUGUCAGAAUCCAUGUGGAACGGGCUAUUGGCCGUAUGAAGAAAUUCCGGAUUCUGAACACAACAUGGGAUUUUAGUCUGGUGAAGAAUGCUGACAACAUUGUUGUAAUCAUUGCUGCUCUUGUAAAUCUUCUACCUCCAUUAGUGAAAUAAGAUUUCAUUUGUUGCCCCUACAUUUAUUUUAUCCUUUUUGUUGAGAGUCUGCAUUUCAUUUUUUUUUUAAAAAAGCUCUCUGGAAAAGGGCACUUUAAAUGUGCCACAUAAAUCAGAUUUUGCCAUAGCAUUGUAAUUUGACACAACUUCAUUUUUAUGACUUUGCAGACUUUUCUGACAUUACAUUUUUUUAGCAGCUCCUUGGAGAGAAAAAAGGCACUCCGUUUUAAUGUGCUACAGAAAUAAAGAGACAAUUUGCAUAGCGUUGUCACGUUUGCAUUACUUUGCAGAUUUUUGUGACUCAAUGAACUGGGGUAGAAAAUAGGAAUAAAAGAAGUCAUGUAAUCUGCA